AUUGAACGCUGGCGGCAGGCUUAACACAUGCAAGUCGAACGAGUGGCGGACGGGUGAGUAAUGCUUGGAAAUCUAGCUUAUGGAGGGGGAUAACUACGGGAAACGGUAGCUAAUACCGAGUACCAUAGGAUGAGCCCAAGUGGGAUUAGGUAGUUGGUGAGUUAAAGGCUCACCAAGCCGACGAUCUCUAGCUGGGCUGAGAGGAUGACCAGCCACACUGGGACUGAGACGCGGACCAGACGCCUACGGGAGGCAGCAGUGGGGAAUAGUGCGCAAUGGGGGCAACCUGACGCAGCCAUGCCGCGUGAAGUAAGAAGGCCUUCGGGUUGUAAAGUUCUUUCGGUAGCGAGGCGUUAACUACAGAAGAAGCACCGGCUAACUCCGUGCCAGACGCCGCGGUAAUUC
rnacentral:rRNA from 1 species